UGGGGAAUUUUGGACAAUGGGCGCAAGCCUGAUCCAGCAAUGCCGCGUGCAGGAUGAAGGCCUUCGGGUUGUAAACUGCUUUUGUACGGAACGAAAAAGCUCUCUCUAAUACAGGGGGUGAAUGACGGUACCGUAAGAAUAAGCACCGGCUAACUACGUGCCAGCAGCCGCGGUAAUACGUAGGGUGCAAACGUUAAUCGGAAUUACUGGGCGUAAAGCGUGCGCAGGCGGUUUUGUAAGACAGAGGUGAAAUCCCCGGGCUCAACCUGGGAACUGCCUUUGUGACUGCAAAGCUGGAGUGCGGCAGAGGGGGAUGGAAUUCCGCGUGUAGCAGUGAAAUGCGUAGAUAUGCGGAGGAACACCGAUGGCGAAGGCAAUCCCCUGGGCCUGCACUGACGCUCAUGCACGAAAGCGUGGGGAGCAAACA
rnacentral:rRNA from 1 species